GACGAACGCUGGCGGCGUGCUUAACACAUGCGAGUCGAACGGAAAGGCCCUGCUUUUGUGGGGUGCUCGAGUGGCGAACGGGUGAGUAACACGUGAGUAACCUGCCCUUGACUUUGGGAUAACUUCAGGAAACUGGGGCUAAUACCGGAUAGGAGCUCCUGCUGCAUGGUGGGGGUUGGAAAGUUUCGGCGGUUGGGGAUGGACUCGCGGCUUAUCAGCUUGUUGGUGGGGUAGUGGCUUACCAAGGCUUUGACGGGUAGCCGGCCUGAGAGGGUGACCGGCCACAUUGGGACUGCGAUCCGGCCCAGACUCCUACGGGAGGCAGCAGUGGGGAAUAUUGCACAAUGGGCGGAAGCCUGAUGCAGCAACGCCGCGUGCGGGAUGACGGCCUUCGGGUUGUAAACCGCUUUCGCCUGUGACGAAGCGUGAGUGACGGUAAUGGGUAAAGAAGCACCGGCUAACUACGU
rnacentral:rRNA from 1 species